rnacentral:sRNA from 1 species
GAUGGAGAGUUCACAGGGAGGAACCCAUUCUUCCUCACUCUAAAAAAAAACUUCAUCUCCAAAUUCUCUCGCUUCUCUCUAGAAUUCCAGCACCUUGAACCAUAGGAAUUCAACUCUGAUGCUACCAUGGCCUCCGCGGAGUAGAGGGCUUCUUUUCAACCGAACGUUUUCGUCGUUCCGAUCGGGGCAGAGUGCUUGGCUGUAGGAUGAUUGUGCUUGGAGAAAACCAGAAGAAGAAUCGUCACGUGAUCCUGUGCAGAUGAAGGAAGAGAUGGAGGAACAAAUUAGAGGAAUUCAAUGUUAUAGUUUCAGUUAAAGUCUGAGCAUAAAACUUAUGUAUAGAUUUAUGUAUGAGGUUACGGG